rnacentral:pre_miRNA from 9 species
GCAGUAUUGAGUAAAAUUUAAGUCAAGUAUGGAGUUGGAACGUUUGCCUACGUUUGCCGCUAGGGGCGCUGCUCCAACUGCAUACAAAUGUGAGUUAACUUUUACGCUAUCGA